CAGUAGCCGCGGGAAUACGUAGGGUGCGAGCGUUAAUCGGAAUUACUGGGCGUAAAGCGUGCGCAGGCGGUUUGUUAAGACAGAUGUGAAGUCCCCGGGCUUAACCUGGGAACUGCAUUUGUGACUGGCCGGCUAGAGUAUGGCAGAGGGAGGUGGAAUUCCACGUGUAGCAGUGAAAUGCGUAGAUAUGUGGAGGAACACCGAUGGCGAAGGCAGCCUCCUGGGCCAAUACUGACGCUCAUGCACGAAAGCGUGGGGAGCAAACAGGAUUAGAUACCCGGGUAGUCCCUGUCUCUUAUAC
rnacentral:rRNA from 1 species